rnacentral:rRNA from 1 species
UACGUAGGGCGCAAGCGUUGUCCGGAAUUAUUGGGCGUAAAGAGCUCGUAGGCGGUUUGUCGCGUCUGUCGUGAAAGCUUGGGGCUUAACCCCAAGUCUGCGGUGGAUACGGGCAGACUAGAGGCAGGUAGGGGAGAACGGAAUUCCCGGUGUAGCGGUGAAAUGCGCAGAUAUCGGGAGGAACACCGGUGGCGAAGGCGGCACGCUGGGCCUCUCCUGACGCUGAGGCGCGAAAGCCAGGGGAGCGAACGGG